UAGUCGUAGCUGUAGCUCGUGCCUGUCUAGUCGACGUAGCUAGGUAGAGAUAGGAGUGGGAAGGAGAGUAAUACAUGGGAGAGCGGCCAGGAAUGCGGGAAAAAUACUGGAAAGAUGGCUAAUAACGCAUGAUAUCUACUGAUGACAUGGUUGGUCUUCGGGCCUUUUGUACUAUGGCAUCUGAUGGCGGAUUAUCAACUUGUUGGUGUAAAAAUGUACUAACACUGCGACCAGUAGCUGGCCAGAUAAGACGACCAUCCGCCCUGGUGCUGAUACACCGCCCCCAAUACUCCGGCAGGAAGCAGUGGGGAAUUUUGUUGAAUGAUGGAAACCCUGAUGAUGCAAUGCCGCCUGCUGAAUGAAGACCCUCUUCUUGUUGACUGCUUUUUUCCCCAACGAAAAGCCUGGGGCUAAUAUCCCCGGGUCAUAACGGUACCGCAAGAAUAUGCCCCGGCUAACUACAAUACAUCAGCCGCGAGCGUUCUCCGGAAGUACUGGUUAUUCGGAAUUCCUGGGCGUAAAGCGUGGUCAGGCGUUUUUGUAAGACACUGGUGAAAUCCCCGGCCUCAACCUGGGAACUGCUUUUGUGACUGCAAGGAUACUGGUGCUUCAGAGUGUGAUGGAAUUCUGCGUGUAUAUCUUGAAAUGCACCGAUAUGCGGAGGAACAUCUAUGGUUAAUCACUGCCCCUGAGCCUGCACUGACGUCUUGCACGACGCUUGGUAGCAAACUUGAUUAUAUCCCCUGCUCGCCUACCCCGAGACGAUGUCAUCUCGUUGAUGGCUCGUAACUGACAACCAAAUAAGCCAACACCUGAUCCUGACCGUCAGUUGCCAAUACCUCCAGGCCGAAACUAAAAAAAUACUCACGUACCAGAUGAGAAAUUGCUCAU
rnacentral:rRNA from 1 species